rnacentral:rRNA from 1 species
CGCCCCUUCGGGGGAGCGGCGGACGAGCGAGUAACACGUAGGAACCUGCCUUGAACUCAGGGAUAACUCCGAGAAAUCGGAGCUAAUACCGGAUGGUCCCGCAAGGGUAAAGAUUUAUCGGUUCAAGAGGGUCCUGCGGCUUAUCAGCUAGUUGGUAGGGUAACUGCCUACCAAGGCUAUGACGAGUAAUUGGUCUGAGAGGAUGACCAGUCGCGAUGGGACUGAGACACGGCCCAU